CCCCUAGAUGUUCUGGGCCGCACGCGCGCUACACUGAACAGUUCAACAAGUCUUAACCUUGGCCGAUAGGUCUGGGUAAUCUUUGAACGCUGUUCGUGAUUGGGAUAGACCUUUGCAAUUAUGGGUCUUCAACGAGGAAUUCCUAGUAAACGCAAGUCAUCAGCUUGCAUUGAUUACGUCCCUGCCCUUUGUACACACCGCCCGUCGCACCUACCGAUUGAAUGGUCCGGUGAAAUCUCGGGACGGCGGCUUGGUCGCGUGCGUCCGACUGCUGAAACUUGAUUAAACCAUAUCAUUUAGAGGAAGGUGAAGUCGUANCA
rnacentral:rRNA from 1 species